CUCUGACCUCUACCCUUGAACUCUACUCUCUGUCUCCGACCCUUUACCUGCCCUCUCUCGUCAGGACAGGUAUAAGCCAACUCUGGCUCUGCUAACAAACCACUUCCUUGACUGGCACUUAGGUCUACACACAUCACUUAGGUCUACACACAUCACUUAGGUCUACACACAUCACUUAGGGCUACACACAUCACUUAGGUCUACACACAUCACUUAGGGCUACACACAUCACUUAGGGCUACACACAUCACUUAGGGCUACACACAUCACUUAGGUCUACACACAUCACUUAGGUCUACACACAUCACUUAGGGCUACACACAUCACUUAGGUCGACACACAUCACUUAGGUCUACACACAUCACUUAGGUCUACACACAUCACUUAGGUCUACACACAUCACUUAGGUCUACACACAUCACUUAGGUGACUCAUAAAAGCUUUUUAAUUCCUUUACAAGAACAGAACACACACACACACACACACACACACACACACACAGACCCUCACCUCAGCCGCAGGAUGCUGAUUCAUACGUACAUAUUGUUUAUGAACUCAUUCAUUGUCAAUGCGGAAGGUGCAUAGAAUUUUCCAGAAUCAUUACCUCACAUGCCAUUUCCCCUUCCAUCUGAACAAGAGCUUUAAACAAAACCUACAUAUCAGACUCUUUGGAGUGGUUGCC